ACCAAGAUCUCGAGUGCACAAUGUCAUCAGCGUAAUGAAGAGUAAACAUUUAUGCUAAUAAUCUGCAAUUUUUUUCAUCAGCUAUAAAGACAGAGGCUAUAUAGCAGAAAAUUUCAGUCAUAUUCUGCAAGAGCAGAGCUGCAAAAAGGCUGCUGCGCUCAGAGGCAUGUGCAUCUCUGGGGGACCUCAAUCCGCAUUUGCACUCUCAGGAUAUUAUUAUUGUGCUCGGCUUCAAUUUUUUUUUUUUCGCUUUCUUUCUCCCUCCCCUAUCCUCUCCCUCUCUCACACAGUCUCUCGCUCCUCUAACUUUCGUAGCAAAAAGCCGCGUUCGGUCCUUUGGUUUGUUGUAAAGCAAAGACUUGUGCCCAGAGCCUCAGGGACUGAGGCGGAAGUUUCAGGGGCCGCUCUGUGCUCUGCAAUUAGAUUGACACAUGUACAACAUCCCCAGCCAUUGAAGGGGGUUCGCAGGGACACUCCAAGGGGAUUUUUUUUCCUUUUUCUUUUUGGGUGGAAGAUAUUAAAGAGGUAUCUGUUGUUUGGCAAUUUUGCUAAGUCUGUCUUCAUUACUUCAACAUUGUGCAUUUGCUAAUUUGGAAGCCCCUUCCUAUUGACAGCUCUGCUCCAUACACCUGCAAGCAAUUUGCAGAGCUCCAAUAUAGGAGAAUUGCAGAGAUGGCAGCUCGCACCUAUUUUAUUUUUUUUUCUUCGCUUUUCUCAAUGCACAGCAAAUUUGGCUUUCAGUGCGUUAUCUCUUUUGUUAAUGCAAAAAGAUUCCCUGGGCGAAAAAAUUGCUCAUAAUUACCAGAGAGAUGGGGAAACUGCAUUAGAAUAAAUAAACCUGAAAUUACUGUAA